AAUGCUGAUAAGGGUGAUGGUGAUCAACAGCGUUAUUCUCAUCAUGGAUAUCAUCAUUAUUUAUGAUAUUAUCCAUCUUAUGGUGGAAAUUUACGGGAUAGAAGUAUUGACCCUGAUGGGUAUAUGUAGGCGUGCAUAUGUCUUUAUGUAGGUAAGUGUAUGCAUGUAUAUUGUGGCAUCCCGCCACGUAAACCUCGGCCUGGACGGGCCCGAGGGACGGUGAAGGACGGGGUAUACCACCCCCACCCACCAGCCGGCGACGGAGAGCAUCCCUUUCGCCUCCCCAAUCAGGGUGAUUGGUGGACACCUGGCCGGUGGCAGAGGAGCCAUCUUAAAAGGAGGUCCAGGACAGCACAGCACGGCACGGGAGCAAGGAGGAAGUGCUCGUGACCGGGAGAGGCUAGAGGCUAGAGGCCCACGGAGGCCCUAGAGACUGCGAGCUCCUUGUUUGAUUUAAGUUGAUUGUAAAUAAAUGCCUUUAACGGAGUAUACGCACGCUAAAAGUGUCGUUCAUCCGUGGAAUCUGGCCCAACCGAGCACCGGGUUACCACAAUAUGCAAACACACUGUGUGCCGCCUCACCAGCCCCAGACUCCAGUCAGAGCCGGCCAGGUGAGGCUGCCUAGACCAGCCGUCCUCCACACACCACGCCCACGUUGACCCGCACCACCAACGGGAGGCUGGGGAGCAUCCCCGGCCUCACGAAGCCGUUACGCUCCAACGCGUGUUCAGCCGCUCCAACGCGUGUUCAGCCGCUCACGUAGCUGCGUCUCAGUUCUGUCCUCCCCAGGUGAGGGCGGGUCCAGUCCGGGGGUUCUUCAUUCCCCAACACGACCACCCAGGGCCGCUGCUGGCCAUUUCAGCGCCCUACACGAGCGGGAGGCACCGACAUUUUUUACCUGAUAUAGGUACUCGGUGCCCUACGCACUCUGCGUACUCUGCGUAUAGGGAGCGGCGGGCCUGCGACCAGCACACACACAGGUCCAGAAGUCCCAGUCUGCCAGCACUCAGCGGUUAGAGGAAGCCUCCCCCACCGGGACCCCAUAAGGUCCAGGAGCAGAACCCUGGAGGUCCAAACGCU